UUCAAAUGGCCAUAUCUUUUGAACCAAAACUCCAAAUUUGGUGGUUCUUUUUGCAAAAUGUUUCUCAUGUCAUGAAGUUUCUAAAUCAACCAUCAUAUUGCAUGAAUUUCCAACACAUGAGCAUUUGCACAUCCAAGUCAAUUUUGGAGGGAAAAUUGGAAAUUUAAAAAUGGUGCAUUGUAUGGACUUUCUACCAUUACCAUUGG
rnacentral:lncRNA from 1 species